AACGAACGCUGGCGGCAGGCUUAACACAUGCAAGUCGAACGCCCCCGCAAGGGGGAGUGGCAGACGGGUGAGUAACACGUGGGAACAUGCCCUUCGGUUCGGAACAACGUCUGGAAACGGACGCUAAUACCGGAUACGCCCUUUUGGGGAAAGGCUCGCUGCCGAAGGAUUGGCCCGCGUUCGAUUAGCUUGAUGGUGCGGGUAACGGCCCACCAUGGCGACGAUCGAUAGCUGGUCUGAGAGGAUGGCCAGCCACAUUGGGACUGAGACACGGCCCAAACUCCUACGGGAGGCAGCAGUGGGGAAUAUUGGACAAUGGGCGCAAGCCUGAUCCAGCCAUGCCGCGUGAGUGAUGACGGCCUUAGGGUUGUAAAGCUCUUUCGCACGCGACGAUAAUGACGGUAGCGUGAGAAGAAGCCCCGGCUAACUUCGUGCCAGCAGCCGCCGUAA
rnacentral:rRNA from 1 species